CCAUUGCAGACAGAGCUAUGACAUGCCUUCCGAGCAGCCUCCUCUGGUGCUCCUGGUUGGCAGGGGUCUCUGUCCCGGCAGAGCUCUGUGCGGGUGCUCUGCGUCUUGCCUUGGGCUGAGAACUCAGGUUUGAAAGUUAGAUGGAGCUGGGUUCAAAUUCUGCCCCCACCUUCCAGUGGCUGUGUGACCAUGAGCACAUUGCUUAACAUCUCUGUUCCUUAGUUUACUCAUUUGCAGAACAGGCUUCUAUGAAGAAUAAAUUAGAUAUUGAGAAAAGUGCUAAUUAAUACUACUGCCAUUAAGAGUUCCCCAACACACAACACAUGCAUGCACGCGCGCGCACACACAUACACACACGCAUGCACGGCAGGAUAACAGUAAUUAAUAGCAAGGACUGGGUCUUAAAUCCUGGCGGGGGGACUUUGGGCAAGUCACUUGAUCUCUGUUUGCUGACUGAGGGAUACUCAUCAAAAUUUUCCUUGUUACUCUCCAGGGGACCCCCUCCUACCCACCAAAAAAGCAGCAGGUUUCCCUCUGGGGCCUGAGGCAUGUCCUGGCAACUGGGAGGCCAGGCUGCGCCCUGACCCCGUGGUCCUGGUCUGCUCUCAUGAAGCUCUGUGCUGCUGCCAGCUCCCAGGGGACUCCUCAGCCCAGAGCUCUCUCUGGCGAUGCCAAGCAGGCCCCACGCGGCCUAGACCCCAGGGACCCUGCUCCCCAGCCCCAGGUGACGGAGCCUGGUGUGCCCGGUCAGCUCAUUGUUGGUGCAGAGCCAGCAGAUUUGCAAAAAUCACUUUGUACUGACAUUAAGCACCUUCGAUUCUUAUUGAAUCCCAGAUCUGACUCACUGCCUCUCCCCUGGGCUGGCCCCGCUGUCAUUACCACCUGGACACCUGAAUUAUCAAACUGCAGGCACCGAGGCCUGGCAGGUAGUUUACUUCCCUUACAGGAGACCAGUUCAGCGGAAGGGCCUGUUCUCUAGCCACCGGGCAUUCAUCUCUUCCGUGGAGCUGGGAAGGUACCGGAAGGACCUGUGUGAAGAUCGGCCUGGGAAGACUUAAAAUGACUUUUUGGAGAGUCUGUGUCCUCCUCCUCCUUUGUGUCAGACGACGCUGCUGUGGCCCUUGGGUGCGUGUGUCGCAGUGAGGGCUGCGUCAGCGCCCGCUUGGGCAGAACGGUGUGCAGUUCACAGGGAGGGGACACGUCCCUAUCCUGCUCUGCCACCUAAGACUCCCGCUGUUUCCUACCUUCCCUCUGCCCCAGGUUCCUCAUCCAUGAAAUGGAGAUCAUGCCGGUCCCCACUCACAGCGGACCUCACAUCCACCUCCUUGUCCCUGCUGCUUCCUGACCUGGGACGCAGUUGGUGCACAGAUACUUGAGUGCUUGAGUGUGUGCUGCGUACCCUUCAUGCAGCCCGCACUUACUGAGCACCUACUACAUGCUGUUCAUUCCUAUGACACUUACAGAGCAGCUUCUCUGUGCUAACACCCACCUAACAGGCACAAGGUUGACAACGCACCUGAGCCUACGGCUGAGGCAAGAGCGGAGCUCCACCCUCACUCUGUUCAGUGGGCCUCCCUGUCGCCCCUGCCCCAGGAGAGGCCAGGUGUAUGCCCACUGGGGCUCUGGCACAAACACAUCACCCCCCCAACACCUGACACCUCUGAAAUGCUCUGAGUGUGUCAAUCAGCUCCAAUCAGCCUCCUCCAGGAAGCCUUCCAUAAGCCCUCACCCUGCAAGGACUCCUCUUGUGAUCUCAGCACACCCCUGGCCCCGUGGACACAGAUGCACAUCACUGCUUCUGUUCCUACGUGUGGUCUGCAUUACGGCCUAGACCGUGAGCUCUCUGAGGGCUGGCAAAGGUCCUCCGCCCCCUUGUCUCCCCCAAGAGUUGAGCACGGACUGACGCAAACAGUAGGUUCUUCCUAAAUGCUGCUGCCUCACCAACUACCGAUGCAGAGCGCAGGGAGGGACAGUCUUGUGCACAGGUCUGGACACGGGCCCUGUACCGGGCACCAGGUGUGAACUGAGGAGCCCAGCUGGGGCUCUUGGCCCCACACCCCAGACUGGCCGUUCGGGCAGGAUGCCAGCGGUCAGAGGAGCUCUGGCCCCCGUGUGAGGGACCGUACAGCCUAGACCCUGAGCCUCAGGCUCUGACAUCAGCCCAGGUUGGGGAUGAAGGCCCCGGCGGUGAAUAAUUCCUUCUCUGUCACUUGCCAGGGCCCAGCUGCCUCAAACGAGGUCUCAUUAGGACAGGGCAAGCUUCUUCACCUCUGCUUGUUAACUCCCCUGAGCACAGUGAGUGGAAAGUGGGAGGGGCGAGGGAGUGUGAGAGCCUUUUCAUUUCUGGAGCUCACUGCCCUGUGCAUGGAUAUUCCUGGAAACCUUCCCCGGGGGCUGCCCUGGCUGGAGCUUGCUCCGGGGGCCAGGAGGGGGCUACUGAUUUAGGCUGAUAGAGCAGGUCAAAGAAGGGACCGGCGCUCAGGGGCAGAUGGCCCUUUGGACCCGUCCUGAGAUGGCCCUGUCUUUCCCCUGGGUCUGCACAGGACGGCAGAGCUGCCCACCCCAGGUGCAUGUCCAAGUAGAGGCUCGGUGGGCGGCAUGGGGCAGUCCAGAGACCAGACCGGGAGCCACGUGGUGCUUGCAAUGCUCCCUACUGCCUCCCUGGGCGGCCUGGCAAGGCGUGUUCCACCCUGGGCCUCAGUCGCCCAUCUGUGAAAGAAAGCACUCCACAGGGUCAUCCUUCAGUUUGACACUGGAGGUUUGCAAGUGUGGUAAGCAUGGAAGGAUCCAGGACUCCCCUACUCACCCCCAACCCAGCUUCUCUCACUGGCUCCAGUUAGCAUUCCACCUCCGCUUGCAGAAAGGAUCUCAGACCUGAGGGGACUCGCAGAUACCUGCUGCGUCAGGGACUCCUAGAGGGCCCAGGGGAGCGGCCACGAAAUGGCACAUCACACCCAGGCAGCAGCUUCUCUGUCCCUGGGGCUCUGGGGCGGGCAGGAGGCUGCCGAGUGAGUGCUCUGUGGCCAGAGGGAAUGGGUCGGAAACCACAGGCCCGCCCAGCAGAGGGGACAUCAGGGAAUGUCCGUCUGAUCAUCACGGGGUUUUAAGAGCCGGAAGAGCCCUGACAGAUCACCUGAACCUCUGGUUUAUUACUGUGAAAACUGAGCCACAGCGAGGGCAGGUCCAAGUGGGGCAGUAACACCACCCAGGGCCUUGCCUGCAGGCCAGCUCCUCUGUGCAGGCUUCUGUGUGUCCCCAUUGACCCGGUCACAGGCAUUAUCUGGGGCCACUUGUUACAAAUUCAGAGGCCUGGGCCCCACCCCAGACUCAGACGCCAAGACAGGGGCCCGAGAAUCUGUGUUUGAACAGGUGCUGCCGGCAUGGGAGCUCGGUGCCUGCAUCUUCCGGUGUCGCCCUGCAAAUUCUCACUCAACAGCUCAAGAGAGGACCUGGGGGGCCAGUAUCUCUGGGAAGGGAAGUGUCUGGGUACCACAGCUAACAAAUGCCAACCGUAACCAGAUGUUCCUGCCUGGGGGGCGGGAGGCACCUCCCCGAGGGCCUCGGCCUACCCAGAGCGGGACGCGUUGGCCCUGGGCAGCUCCUGCUCCAUUUCCUUCUUCCAGGCGGGCGGAGUGCUCCCCGCUCCACAGGCGAGGAAACAGAAGGGAGUCAAAGGUGAACUGACUUGUCCAGAAUCACAUGGCUGACAGGUGGCACAGCAGGGACUGGAGCCCAGAACUGUCUGUCCCUAAAACCCACGCUGACCACAAGCCACACCGCAUCCUUUAUCACGCUGGGCUGACACCAGCAAAACUGCGUGGGGUGAGUUCCCCAGCAGCGGAGGUGUUCAAGCCGCAGCUGGGGCAGCUGGUGGCAGGCACGAGACGGUCUUUAUCAGCCCUCCCGGAGCCGGGGCUGGGGACAGGCUAAUCUGGCUACAGGAUACGUGGAUGUUUAGUUGUGUUUCUUCCACACACAGAGAAAAAUGUUCCGGAUUAUUUACAGGUUCUAGUGCACCAAAGUCCCCCUGGCUCGAUCCCUGGCCGCCCUAGAGCUGCCGGGCAGGAGGCAGCUAGGAACCCCAAACGGAGAGGGCGUUUGUUGGGGUGGGGGCCGCCCGGGUCAGGAUGGCGCCCAGAGAGAGCUUGUGGGGGCCACCCGGCGAGGGCUGUGUCACGCCAGCCCGUCCCACCCGACAGAGGGUGGGCCAGACAGACGUGGCGCCGAGGGAGCAUUCCACGGAGGUUAUGAGGCAGCAAUGCCCCCGCGGGCUCCGAAAGAGGCCCCAGAGGGGCCCGAGGGGAGCGGCGGAGGGUCCCAGACAGCUGCGAGGCAAGAUGUGCUGCUUCCCAAGCCGGAGCCGAAGCGGGGUGAGACGCACUUAACGGAAGAGACAGAUGUGAGGGGAAAGCUUCCAAAGGCUCAGAGACCACAGAUUCCCCACUCUCCAUUAACCAGUCAGCUCCCUGGGGGCUCCGGAAGGUUCUCUGGGGUCCAGCUGUCUAGUAGGUGGGGUGGACACCUGAGGGGACCACACCGAGGUCCCCGUCUCCUCCCUCCUCCUGCACUGGCCACAGCUCAGAAUUGUCUUGUGCACCUGAGGCCCCGGGGCCAGGGGCCGAGGGAGUACACGUGCGCCAUGCCGUGCAUAACUAUUUCUCAGAGAGCCUACACACAGCCUCGGAUUCCUUCUUAACACAGCCUACCAGGCACAGAAACAGCCAGAAGACGAGACUAAACCUUGUUGCCAUCCCUGGCAUGGAGCUAAGGGCACAGAAGGUGGGUGCCUGUGGCUUCCUGCCGCCCCUCGGCACACAGGAGUGCGGGCACUGUGCCGGGACGUGCUUCAGAGCCGGCCCUGAGUCUUCACGGAGCUCGUGGUCCAGCGGGGGAGAAGGCGCAGGGCGGGCGUGGAGGAGCAGAGACAAGGAAAGCUCACGGGGUGCACGGGCCUGAAGGAGGGGACGGUGCGUCCCACGGGGCUCUGUGCUCAGCACACUGGGGCUCUCAGGCCCUGCCGGUGGGAGGAGGCAGGCCCCUCGGAGGAAGCUGCUCCCUGGGCAGAGGACCCUGUGGUGGGGGACACACAGAGGGAGGUGAGCCCAGCACCUGAACCUCCCGUGACUUCCCGCCACACCGGCUGAGCAGAGCAAACAAGAGGCAGACGUGAGGUUCGGUCACCUGGGUUCUAGCCACGGUCACAGCACACGCUCUGCAAACUCCCACCUGCGAAGUGAGGAAACUGGAGCCCCUAAGGCUGGGCCCUGCAAUACGCCAGCCAGGAGCCGCGGUGGCGGCUGCACAGUGUGGACUGCGACCCGCUGAGUGCGUUACACACACACCAGACUCCGAAGACUUCGUACGAAAAAAAGAAUGUAACAUAUCUGCCCUAUACAGCCAAUAUCUUACCAUCCCAAUACAUAAUCAAUAAAAACCGAAAAGGAGCAGG